UUGUCCCGUGUCUUCAGUGCCAAGGU
rnacentral:piRNA from 1 species